GGGCGAAGCCUGAUGCAGCACGCCGCGUGGGGGAUGAAGCUUCUCGGAGUGUAAACCCCUUUCGACCCGGACGAAUGCCCGCAAGGGCUUGACGGUACGGGUAUAAGAAGCCCCGGCUAACUACGUGCCAGCAGCCGCGGUAAAACGUAGGGGGCCAGCGUUGCUCGGAAUUACUGGGCGUAAAGGGUCCGUAGGCGGUGUGGCAAGUCGGUAGUGAAAGCUCUGGGCUUAACCCAGAGACUGCUGCCGAAACUGCUGUGCUAGAGUGUGAGAGAGGCGAGUGGAAUUACGGGUGUAGCGGUGAAAUGCGUAGAUAUCCGUAGGAACAUCCGAGGCGAAAGCGGCUCGCUGGAUCACAACUGACGCUGAGGGACGAAAGCUAGGGGAGCAAACAGGAUUAGAUACCCUGGUAGUCCUAGCCCUAAACCAUCAGGACUUGGGGUUUGCCCUGUACGGGGCAAGUCCCGUAGCUAACGCGUUAAGUCCUGCGCCUGGGGAGUACGGUCGCAAGGCUGAAACUCAAAAAAAUUGACGGA
rnacentral:rRNA from 1 species